UACGUAGGAUGCAAGCGUUGUCCGGAAUUAUUGGGCGUAAAGAGCGAGCAGGCGGUUUGGAAAGUUGGACGUGAAAUUUUAGGGCUUAACCCUAAAGGGUCGUCCAAAACUCCCAGACUAGAGUGCAGGAGAGGAAAGCGGAAUUCCCGGUGUAGUGGUGAAAUGCGUAGAUAUCAGGAAGAACACCCGUGGCGAAAGCGGCUCUCUGGGACGGUACUGACGCUGAGACGCGAAAGCGUGGGGAGCGAACAGG
rnacentral:rRNA from 1 species